CGGAACCACGAAGCCAUGGCAACGCCCCGCGAGCAAAGUCCGUGCGCGUCCGCCCCGGGAGAGCUGGGCUCGCCAAGCUCAGAACCGGUGCCCCGUCGGCGGCCAGAGACGAGGGGCAGCCCCGACCCCACAGAACCUUGAGGGAGGAGUGUGAACGCCUAUGGAUUGGUUCCCGGUUUCUUAUUUGCAUCCUGAGCUGAGGAAGAGACCCCGCGAGACGCCCCGGCACCGCCCUCUCCUCGGCGGCCGUGACCGAGUGAAUGACCGCCAAGUCCACCCAGGCAAAGCAGGGCCCGGGGAGGGUCGGUCAGAGCAGCCCCGGGGGUCGGGGGCUGAGGGAGCGGCAGGGGUGGGCAGAGGCAGGAGGGGCCGGGAGGAUGCUGCCCGGGGUUCGUGAGCAGAACCUUCCCCUGCCCCUCCAUCGGCACAAAAGAGGAAGGGGCCGGCGUCGUGGCACCGCGGGGGAAGCCCGGCUGCCCCACUUCCCGGCCAGCUCCCUGCCACGCCCAGGAAGGCAGUGGAAGAUGCCCAAGUGCUCGGGAGACCCGGAGGGAGCUCCCGGCUCCUGGCUGCUCGGAGCGUCGGGGAGCGAGCCGGCAGAGGCAGCAUCUCUGCGUGUCUCCCUCUCUCCAGUCACCCCUUCCCGAGGAGGGGCGUGCGCACGAGCGCUCGGCAGGGGCUGAGUGGGAAGGCGCAGGUGGGGGCACCCCGUGGUCCCCCUGCUACUCCCUCGGGGCCCCGCCUGCGCUCACAGCCCCUGGUUUCUGGAACAAUCUCCAGCCAGCUCGGUCAAGACCCUGCAGCGCACGUAACAAGGCCCCGGGGGGCCCUGCGUGAGGAGCAGUGGGCUUGGCCGAGCCUCUCCGUGUCCCAGCGGCUCUGCCGUCCCAAGCACACGCACGCGCCGGGGGACGGAUGGCCAUGGCCCUGGAGCAGCCAGGAAUCCCCCCCAGGGCCUCGCCCAGCCUCCCUGCUGCCUCCUCCCCCAGCCCUUUGUGAUGUCAUCGCCGUUGCCAUGGGAACCCUGCCAGCCCAGCAGAUGGGGAGGCCUGGGCCCGCCCGGGUCUGUGGCAAAGCAUCGGUUUCCCCUGCCAGGAAGCUGGAUCAAGGGAGACCGCCGAGGGCUUCCGGCAGUGGGAGUGGGGACAGGGCCAGGGCUGCACCGCUCCGGCCUGCAGGACGACAGGAAGUGCCCCCACCUCUGCCUGCGGCUCCGCCCCCUGCCCCAGGAGCCCCACCCCCACCAGCACCCGCGAGGGGGACGAGCAGGCAGGGAGACGGGGCACACAGCACAGCACGGACGGGACACACGGCCAGGCCCCCAGUGUGAGGUCACAGGGCCGGGGCACACGGGGUGCGUCGGCACACGCAGUUGUGCAUGACACACGCUGUGCACAGCGUCCAGGUCCGUGUCGGGAAACAGGCCCGCACCCGGCUGCACCCUGGACAAUGCAAACGGCCACAAGCGUGUCCAGGCCUGGCCGCCACCCCCAGGAGCCCACUCGGGCCGUGAGAGGUACCUGCCCGGAGCAGUCGUUUCCCGGGCCCUACACCCCCCGGGAGGGUCAGGGACGCCCCCCCCACCACAGACGCUGCCCUGCACCCAUCCUACAGACGGCGAAACCAAGGCUGAGAGCACCCAGGGAGGCCCGCCCGGCCCUCGGCCAGCUUCUACUUCCUGGGAGAGCGAAGGCGCUGGAAGCUCAGAGAACGAGGGUCACUCGCAGUCCCAGGACCCCCAGAAAGCUCCAGAGCUGGUGACGGUGGGGGAGAGGGGUCCGCAGACCAGGAGGCUUCCCGGCCUGGCCUCGCCACACUGCCCUCCGCCCAGCCAGGGGCCGCCCGGCUCACGGAAGCCGACGCUCCCGUCUCUGCCUCUCGCCUGGUGUGCGGCGAGGAGCAGGGUGACGCGGCCCCGCGCUGAGCCCUGCUGGCCUGGCCAUGGCUCCUCCUCUCCUGGCAGGUGCACCCCAGCCCCCAGCCCCACCGCCGGCCAGGACCUCCCCCUCUUCCCGGGAUGGCCGGGGAGAGCCACCCCCCCUGCUUCUACCAGCUGUGCUAUGUGCACCCUCCUGGGAGCCCGGCCUGCACCGGCCAGGCUGCCCCGAGCGGUCCGGGCCCCAGGGAUGGCCCCUGGAGCUGGGGUCUCGGGCUCCUUGGACGCCCCCAUGGGCAGUCUAAACCUGGGCUCCACUUGCAGGAAUGAAGCGCCCCAUGGCACGUGGACCUGGUGGCCCUGGGGAGACGGACACCUCGGCGUGACCUGGCCAUGGUCACAGAGCCGGGAAGUGGCCACUCCAGGACCACCUGGCAUGGCGCUGGGCGCUGGGCGCCCUGGUCCCCCGCACUUCCCCACUCCACCCCACAGUCACCCCGGAAUCCAGGGCACAGGGCACCAUGUGUGAGCCCAGCCUGGAGCGGGUGCCCGCUGGUCGGGAACGGCGAUUUCGUGCCGCGGCGUCUCCCUCUUCCCCGUGCCGAGGCCUACCGAGCUGUGAAUGGCCACUUUGCCGAGAUGAACCCCAGCUCCCCGGCCCAGCCGUCGACACAGCCUGGCCACGCCCUGGGUGCAGAGCAGAGAUGGCCACCGGGGAGGCUCCAGCCGCCAGCACUCUCCCCCCACACAGUAGGUGCUCGCUUCCUGCCUUCAUCUUCCGGUGCCUGUGGGUCACGUUGUCCAUCGCCCGCUCACCCCGCGGCACAUCUGCCACCGCUCCUGCUGCACCGUCUGUCAUUCAGCCAUGCGUGGAUCUGUCCACCAGCCACCCAGGAAACAGAACAAACCCCGAUGAGCCCGGCCACGUGGAAGGAGCACCAGGGUGUUGACUGAGUGACAGCCCAAGCCCAUCCCACCCCAGUACGAUUCCCCAGCACUGCCCACGUGAACCAAACAACACACAGAAAUGGACAAGAGGCGCUCAGGGAUAGGGGCUGCGGGUGUGACCCCAAGCAUCCGCGUGUGUGGACUGUGGCACCACCCACAUCCCGGCUGUGCCCUGGACUAGCGCUGUCCACCCAACGCUGCCACUGCCAGAGGGCUGCAAACAUGCAGCUGGGACCUCACGCUUCCCACACCCGCGUGGGACACAACAACGAUCCACAAUCAAAAAAUUAACCCGGAGGCCCGCACUGCGCCAUCGUAGGCAGAGCCAUGUGGGCACCAGCUCCAGUCCCGGCUGCCCCACUUCCGAUCCAGCUCUCUGCUGCGGCCUGGGAAAGCAGUGGAAGAUGCCCAAGUCCUUGGGCCCCUGCACCCACGUGGGAGACCUGCAGGAGGCUCCCGGCCCCUGGCUUCAGCCUGGCCCAGCCCUGGCCAUUGUGGCCAUUGGGGGAGUGAACAAGCAGAUGGAAGACCUCUCUCUCUCUCUCUCUCUCUCUCUCUCUAACUCUGCCUUUCAAAUAAAUAAAUGCUUUUUAAAAUAAUAAUAA